UACGGGGGGAGCAAGCAUUGUUCGGAUUUACUGGGCGUAAAGGGCGCGUAGGCGGCCACCGCAAGUCGACUGUGAAAUCUCCGGGCUUAACCCGGAAAGGUCAGCCGAUACUGCGGGGCUAGAGUGCAGAAGGGGCAACUGGAAUUCUCGGUGUAGCGGUGAAAUGCGUAGAUAUCGAGAGGAACACCUGCGGCGAAGGCGGGUUGCUGGGCUGACACUGACGCUGAGGCGCGAAAGCUAGGGGAGCGAACGGG
rnacentral:rRNA from 1 species